rnacentral:rRNA from 1 species
AUUGAACGCUGGCGGCAGGCCUAACACAUGCAAGUCGAGCGGAGCUGCGGACGGGUGAGUAAUGCCUAGGAAUCUGCCUGGUAGUGGGGGAUAACGUCAGGAAACGGGCGCUAAUACCGCAUACUAUCAGAUGAGCCUAGGUCGUAUUAGCUAGUUGGUGGGGUAAAGGCCUACCAAGUCGACGAUCAGUAACUGGUCUGAGAGGAUGAUCAGUCACACUGGAACUGAGACACGGUCCAGACUCCUACGGGAGGCACAAGUGGGGAAUAUUGGAAAAUGGGCGAAAGCCUGAUCCAGACAUGCCGCGUGUGUGAAGAAGGUUUUCGGAUUGUAAAGGACUUUAAGUUGGGAGGCGUUACCAACAGAAUAAGCACCGGCUAACUUCGUGCCAGCAGCCGCGGUAAUAC